AUUGAACGCUGGCGGCAGGCCUAACACAUGCAAGUCGAACGGUAACAGGAAGAAGCUUGCUUCUUUGCUGACGAGUGGCGGACGGGUGAGUAAUGUCUGGGAAACUGCUUGAUGGAGGGGGAUAACUACUGGAAACGGUAGCUAAUACCGCAUAACGUCGCAAGACCAAAGAGGGGGACCUUCGGGCCUCUUGCCAUCGGAUGUGCCCAGAUGGGAUUAGCUAGUAGGUGGGGUAACGGCUCACCUAGGCGACGAUCCCUAGCUGGUCUGAGAGGAUGACCAGCCACACUGGAACUGAGACACGGUCCAGACUCCUACGGGAGGCAGCAGUGGGGAAUAUUGCACAAUGGGCGCAAGCCUGAUGCAGCCAUGCCACGUGUAUGAAGAAGGCCUUCGGGUUGUAAAGUACUUUCAGCGGGGAGGAAGGGAGUAAAGUUAAUACCUUUGCUCAUUGACGUUACCCGCAGAAGAAGCACCGGCUAACUCCGUG
rnacentral:rRNA from 1 species